AUUGAACGCUGGCGGCAGGCCUAACACAUGCAAGUCGAGCGGAGAGGCGGAAGGGUGAGUAAUGCCUAGUAAUCUGCCUGGUAGUGGGGGAUAACGUCCGGAAAAGGGAGCCAAUACCGCAUACUAUCAGAUGAGCAUAGGUCGGAUUAGCUAGUUGGUGGGGUAAAGGCCUAACAAGGCGACGAUGUGUCUCAGGCCUGAGAGGAUGAUCAGUCACACUGUGACUGAGACACGGUCCAGACUCCUACGGGAGGCAGCAGUGGGGAAUCUUGGGCAAUGGGCGAAAGUCUGACCGAGCAAGGCCGCGUGAGUGAAGAAGGUCUUCGGAUUGUAAAGCUCUGUUGUUAGAGAGGCGUUAUCUACAGAGUAAGCACCGGCUAACUUCGUGCCAGCAGCCGCGGUAAUAC
rnacentral:rRNA from 1 species